rnacentral:rRNA from 1 species
CACGCCGUAAACGAUGGAUACUAGCUGUUGGGAGUAAUCUCAGUGGCUAAGCGAAAGUGAUAAGUAUCCCACCUGGGGAGUACGUUCGCAAGAAUGAAACUCAAAGGAAUUGACGGGGGCCCGCACAAGCGGUGGAGCAUGUGGUUUAAUUCGAUGAUACGCGAGGAACCUUACCAAGGCUUAAAUGUAGUUUGACCGAUUUGGAAACAGAUCUUUCGCAAGACAAAUUACAAGGUGC